UGCAGUCGACGACUCUGGUUUGAUUGGUGCUUGCUCAUGAUUUACAUUUGAGUGAGUGGCGAACUGGUGAGUAACACGUGGGAAACCUGCCCAGAAGCGGGGGAUAACACCUGGAAACAGAUGCUAAUACCGCAUAACAACUUGGACCGCAUGGUCCGAGCUUGAAAGAUGGCUUCGGCUAUCACUUUUGGAUGGUCCCGCGGCGUAUUAGCUAGAUGGUGGGGUAACGGCUCACCAUGGCAAUGAUACGUAGCCGACCUGAGAGGGUAAUCGGCCACAUUGGGACUGAGACACGGCCCAAACUCCUACGGGAGGCAGCAGUAGGGAAUCUUCCACAAUGGACGAAAGUCUGAUGGAGCAACGCCGCGUGAGUGAAGAAGGGUUUCGGCUCGUAAAACUCUGUUGUUAAAGAAGAACAUAUCUGAGAGUAACUGUUCAGGUAUUGACGGUAUUUAACCAGAAAGCCACGGCUAACUACGUGCCAGCAGCCGCGGUAAUACGUAGGUGGCAAGCGUUGUCCGGAUUUAUUGGGCGUAAAGCGAGCGCAGGCGGUUUUUUAAGUCUGAUGUGAAAGCCUUCGGCUCAACCGAAGAAGUGCAUCGGAAACUGGGAAACUUGAGUGCAGAAGAGGACAGUGGAACUCCAUGUGUAGCGGUGAAAUGCGUAGAUAUAUGGAAGAACACCAGUGGCGAAGGCGGCUGUCUGGUCUGUAACUGACGCUGAGGCUCGAAAGUAUGGGUAGCAAACAGGAUUAGAUACCCUGGUAGUCCAUACCGUAAACGAUGAAUGCUAAGUGUUGGAGGGUUUCCGCCCUUCAGUGCUGCAGCUAACGCAUUAAGCAUUCCGCCUGGGGAGUACGGCCGCAAGGCUGAAACUCAAAGGAAUUGACGGGGGCCCGCACAAGCGGUGGAGCAUGUGGUUUAAUUCGAAGCUACGCGAAGAACCUUACCAGGUCUUGACAUACUAUGCAAAUUUAAGAGAUUAGACGUUCCCUUCGGGGACAUGGAUACAGGUGGUGCAUGGUUGUCGUCAGCUCGUGUCGUGAGAUGUUGGGUUAAGUCCCGCAACGAGCGCAACCCUUAUUAUCAGUUGCCAGCAUUAAGUUGGGCACUCUGGUGAGACUGCCGGUGACAAACCGGAGGAAGGUGGGGAUGACGUCAAAUCAUCAUGCCCCUUAUGACCUGGGCUACACACGUGCUACAAUGGAUGGUACAACGAGUUGCGAACUCGCGAGAGUAAGCUAAUCUCUUAAAGCCAUUCUCAGUUCGGAUUGUAGGCUGCAACUCGCCUACAUGAAGUCGGAAUCGCUAGUAAUCGCGGAUCAGCAUGCCGCGGUGAAUACGUUCCCGGGCCUUGUACACACCGCCCGUCACACCAUGAGAGUUUGUAACACCCAAAGUCGGUGG
rnacentral:rRNA from 2 species